rnacentral:pre_miRNA from 1 species
AAUAAACAAACUCCUGAGUUUUUGGAUUGAUUUUUGACUCUUCGUCUUAUUUGAAAUUUUAAUAUUUUUAUUGUUAUUAUAUGAUAAAAUAUGAAUAGUACUUUACGUGACUAUUUUUUUUAAUUUUUAAAUAAAUUUUUUAAAUAAGACGGAUGGUCAAACGCUAUAUAGACAAAACUCAGG